rnacentral:lncRNA from 1 species
CUCCCGAUCCCCGGGCCGGGCACCCAAAGGUUCCAGAAGAUCAGUCUCUGCUUCCUACCAGGCUGACGCUAAGGAAAAGGAAAUGAGGAGGGAGAUUUUGCAAGUUAAAUUGACUCCGCUCGUGCUGGUACUUGUUCCAUCUGUCCGCCCCGCACUGGCUUCCCUUUAUACACAUUUAUUCGUAUUAUUUGCACUUUUGUUAGCAAGUAUUUGAAAUACAAAGUAUAGUUUCUUUGAAUAUCCAAGAAAAA